UGACCUCAAAUCAGGUAGGACUACCCGCUGAACUUAAGCAUAUCAAUAAGCGGAGGAAAAGAAACUAACAAGGAUUCCCCUAGUAACUGCGAGUGAAGAGGGAAGAGCUCAAAUUUUGAAUCUGGCGGCGUUCUGCCGUCCGAGUUGUAAUCUAGAGAAGCGUCUUCCGCGCUGGACCGUGUACAAGUCUCCUGGAAGGGAGCGUCGUAGAGG
rnacentral:rRNA from 1 species